AGUGCGAGCUGCAGCCACGCUACUGGGCUGCCCAGCCCUGGCGUGGGGUGUCCGGGGAGGGCGCUGGCACCAGCCUCCGUGCCGGAGGAAGAGAAUCUAGGUCACAGAUCCUCUCUGAGAACAAGUACAUCUGAUGCUGCCAAGGGAAACAAACUGGCAGGGGAAAGGGGAACAAACUGGCUUGAAAGCAACAGGAGAAUGGGAAGAAGUAACUCAGUGAUUGAAACAAGAAUAUUCCAGGAAAGCUUUGUAGGUGACUGCCAAUUGUCCAAAAACAGAGUGGCUUGCUGGUGACUGCAACUGCAGAAAGAAAAGUUUUCUGUGGUUGGGUGUAAAUACUCUUAAGUACUAUCACAGCAGAAUUUUAUGUGGGAAUCCUUGUCUGCUCCAGAAGUCUUAAGCAAUUUUGGAACCUCUGCCACCAAAGGUAAAUAGUCCCAAGAAAGACACUUGUUUCUCUAAUAUGAUCCUGUUUGGUCUCAUCAAGGACUGUAGCACAACACUCAACCCUCAAGGCCAAAGCCAAGCAAUAAAGUGAACUUCAACCUUUGGCUUUGUAGAACAUGUGUGAAAAGAAAAAGCUGUGGAAACAUUUCUUGAAAACACUGGUAUUGUGCCUAUGGUGGUCCAUGCACUUUCACCUAAGAACUCCUGUUGGAAACGAGCAGCUCUAGCAAAGGAAUGUCUCUCCUUAGAACCUACAUGAACUUUGUAUGGUGACAGGUGAGAAAAAACCCCACUGUAAAACCCAAGACUUAUAUUAACAGCUCCAGUUAACAAAAUUGUAUUAGCUGUUCAGCUAAAGGCUGAAAAAAUACUACAGGAGAAAAAAAAUCAGUAUUGUUAUUUUAAAGGAAAUCCAAAUUAUGAUAUUAGUUUUCCCAGCCUGUGAAUCUAAAUCAAAUGAACCCAAAGCAAUUUAUUUCAUAUGACAAAAAAGUAUGACAGGAAAAAGUACUCAGAUAAAUCAACAUAAAAAAGGGUUUGUCAUUGUAGGAGACAAAAUACUUCACAGGCUACAGUGAAGGGAAGGUCAUUAUCAAACAACCUCAGACAAUGUGAACACUUUAUAAGUUGCAACAAGCAGGAACCGGAAGAUACACAAUGAAAUGAAAUGAAAUGAAAUGGAAAUUAAAUGAAAUGAAAUACCAUAAAACGGUUUCAUCAGCUAAACUUCAAAUGACACUGAAAAUGUCAGAAUGAAUAAAGAUCAUUCACUUUA